rnacentral:lncRNA from 1 species
GGGAAGGAAGAAAGAAAAAGAGAAAAUUAAAGGUUUGAAGCUUGGAAGUUUAAUAGGUAAGUCAAUUUAGCUCAUUUUCUUAUGAUUUUUGAGUUUUUGGAAUCCUAGAGAUAAAUACUACUUGUUUUAAGUGGAAAUUUUGAAAGUCAUUAGAUUACUAAGUAUGGUUCAUGUUGAAUAAAAUGAUGGAAUUGGGGUUUAUUUGAUAGAAAUUUUGAUUGGAAUUGAAUAAAGGAUUGAAUCGUAAACUAAGCUAUAAGUUUUGAGUUUUAGGGAUUAAAUGGAAAUAAAUUCGAAAUUAUGAAAAUAUGCUGGAAAUUUAAUAGUUAAGUAUGAGUUUGGACAAAAUUUGAAUUGAGAUAGAAAAAGUAAGUGAAUCUAGUUAAGAUUAAAUUGAAAUUAAAGUAGAAAUUGAAUAAAAAUUGUAUUAAUUAGAUAUAAAUUAGUAGUGAAUUAACGAAUAUGAAUUGUUUUAAUUCUCAUAGCUAAUGUUGUCUCAGAAAACCUCGGCUAAGCAAGGAAAAAAAAAUGGCAAAGACAAAGGGAGUUAGCUCGAGAAAAUACGGUUUGUAUUUCUAUAAUCCGAAUUUAGUCAUUAUUUGUUAUAUUUAAAUACAUAUGGCAAUUGUUAGUGAUUGAAUUAUGAUACUUUACAAUUGAAAUGGAUUGAUUUUAGUAUGCGAUGAAUUUAUUGAAUUUAUAUUGAUUGAAAUUAUUUUGAUUGAAUUAUAUAAUAUAUAUGAUUUAUGUAAAAAUUUGAAUAUUGAAUGAAUGUUAUAUUGAAAAAUAUAUUGAUUGGAAAUAUGAUGAAAUUGAUAUGAAUAUAUGAGAUUGUGAUAUUUGAAUAUUUGAUAUUGACAAGUGAAUUGAAUUGUAUUAAAUUAUGAAUUAAUGUGAAUAAUUGAAAUAUAUUUGUUGAAUUGAAUGAAAUUGUAUGAAUUGUGAAAAUGGGUGAAUAAAUGUGAUUAUCAGAAUAGUAUAUUGAUGAAAGAAUUAUUAAAUUGAGAAAGUGAAUGAAAUACCCUAUUAACUAGUCGAGCUGAGUCGGAUAUAAUUGGCAUGCCAUAGGAUCUGGAAGUGUACGGGAUUUGCUAGCUUUACCGAUCAGGCACUUUAUGUGUUGUAUUUCAAGCACCUCGUGUGUCGUAUCAGGCACCUCGUGUGUCGUUUUAGGCACUUUAUGUGUCGUAUACUGAUCAGGUACUAUGUACCGUUUUAGGCACAAUGUGUCGUACUGGUGUGUUUGGGUUGGAAUCCGUGUAUCCGUUAAAGUUCGGGUUUGUUAAUAGGGGUAAAUAAGUGAAAGAUAAAUCGAAUAAAUUUGAUUGAUCAAGCUAUUGAAAUGAAACGAGAAAUUGAAUUGAGAAUUGAAAAUUUAGAUAUGAAAUUGAAAAUAUGAACCAAAGGUUCAUGAAAUGAUUGGAGUUCGAAUUGAUGAUAUAUGAUGCCACUUAAUGAAUUGAAAUGUGAUUUGAGAUAUAUAAAUCAUAUGUAUAUAGUGAAAGCUAUCAGGGAUAGUAAGUUGAUAUGAUAUAAAUGAAAUUAACUGUUAUUGAAAUGAAUUAAAAUGGAAUAUGAUUGAUAAGUGUAUAGUUGAAUAUAGUUUAAUGAUAGUGAAUUGUGAAUAAAUUAAGUAAAGCUAUACCGAAUAGUAAGUUAAAGAAUGGAGUAAAUAAUAAUGGAUUUAUUUAAGAAUUGAACAAUUAUGUUAUUGCGUUUAUUAUAUGAUUUGUAUAAAAUUUAUAUGGUAAGUAGUUGAAAUUUAUUUAUGAAAUAAAUAAUUGAAUAAUUGUAAUUGUUAUUAUGAUCUUAAGUAUUUGUUAUAUUAUUAAAUGUUUGGAUUAUAGAAAUACCACUGAGUAUACCAUACUCAGCGCACGGUUUGUUUCCGUGCGCAGGUUAAGUAGAGAUAGAACGUUGAAUCAACAUCCCAGGCCGAUCCCGAAUUCAUUAAGGUAAAGUGUGUUAAUUAUUGGUAAUGGCAUGUACCUAGGAUGUCUUAUGUGUGUGUCAUUUUGAAAUUGUAAAUGUAAG